rnacentral:lncRNA from 1 species
UAUCUGGAGCAACAAAAUGCAGCUUACCAGGGCAAUCAGGAAUUCAGAAUGCUUUGUGAGUUCCCACAGUUUUUGCUCAUUCAAUUAACAAUCUUGCCUCUAAGUGCAAGACAGGAUGAGAGAAAGAGAUUCCAAGACUGCUGGAGUCCAGUGUCUACAAGGAAGACUCUAAAGAGAUACUGAUGAGAAAGUGGUAAAAUGAGCAUUUGGUGUUACAGCAGAAGAAGGCAAAAAGCAGUCCACUUAGGGGUAAGUCAGGAAAUCAGAGUUGGAUUGGAGUGCGUGCCAAGAACCCCUGCAGAAAGAAAUGGCUCCCAAACCUUCACUGAAUCCUGAGGGACACAGGAGCAGGUCAAGUAUUGUGUUUCUUUCAUGAGAAGGGGGAAAAAAAUGGCGAGACCUUGGACUCUCUACCUGAUUAAGGAGACACCUGUGGGCAGAGCAGAGGGGUCUCUUUUUCCUUCAGUAUACCUUAUCUCUUUCUCCCUCCAGUUCAAGUGACUCUGAAGGUAUGUUCUGGGUGUGGACCUUAACUCAGUGGAAUGCUGCUUUCCCUGGACACACCAGCUGCCCAUCCCAGUGCACCUAAGGACAAGGGAAUGCACACUCCCACAGCUGCCCAGGAGCUUAAAGGCAAUUGUGUUUCCCAGGACCUUUGCAAAAGGAGAAAUAAAUAAUAUGGCAAUGGUUUGAGGGAUAUAAAGGAGUGGGGCAUGAAAAUGUAGACUUCCAUCCUGUUUAACUGACAGGAGUAAACAUCAAGGAUGAAUAAACAACAUGAAUCAGCAAAAGGACUUGUUUUGGACUUUGCAGUGACUAAGUGACUUUUUAGUUGUAAACAUGUUUUGGUUAUAGGAUGACUAGAUAGUAUGCCC